GGUUUUUUUUUGGUAAAAAGGUGUCAUUGUUAUUUUCUUAAACAUGGUGUUUCUGUUGUCAUUUUCUCUAAUUACUCUUAACAUGUUGCAGAAGAACAUCAUGAUCUAGAUAGCUUUCAAAGGUGUAGUGGCUCAACAGAAGAGCCAAGGAUCGCAUAAGAAUGUGAGAAAAAAUCGGUUGUCCUUCACCAGCUUCAGAAGAACAAGAAGCUGACCAGAAUCCAAAUGAAGAAAGUGACCACAAUCCAAACGAAGAAGAUGAUGAACAAGAAACCAACAACACCGAGCCUCCAUGUAGUGGGUGGGUGUUUUGUUUCACACCUGAUUAAAGUUGUUCGG
rnacentral:lncRNA from 1 species